UCGACGGUCCGUAGACCCCACGUGGGGUUGG
rnacentral:sRNA from 1 species